UCCAGUCACAUGCCUACAGUGGCCCAGGCCAAAGGUUGGGGGUGUUGAAGCAUAUUCCUGCUCAGCAGACAGCUUGGAGCAGACACCUUGGGCCAAGGCUAGCUCGCCCACUGUGUGAGGGGAAAUGUGCUGGGGAGCUGCAAGGAGGUGACUUGCAGUAAGGCUGAAAAACCUACCAUAACUCCCUUGCAUCCCAUCACAUGAUGCUACUUUUGGACCAGGCUCUUGCCAUUGCUUCCAGCCUCUUCCUUGCAGGCUGGACUCCUGCUCAGCAUAUGCCUAAAUGCCAAACAUAGAACUGCAGGGAAAUGCCGGCAGCUUUCCUCAGGGGGCAAGAGAAUCCAGCUGAGAUGCAGGGGUGCCUGACCAACCUGCCAAAUACUUGAUUGUCACAUGAGAUGUCUGACAUUUGGAAUCCCUGAACAGUGUGCUGCACCCAAUUAACUUGUAUCACUUUAAUAAAUCAGGGUUGCUGUUGUUUUCAGUGUAAUCUUUCCUUUCUCUGGACCACCCCAUACUAGACAAUAACAAAUCCAGGGCUGAACUAACCUACAGGGUAUCAAG